GACGAACGCUGGCGGCGUGCCUAAUACAUGCAAGUGGAACGCAUUGAUAUCACCGGAGCUUGCUCCACCGAUAUAAAUGAGUCGCGAACGGGUGAGUAACGCGUAGGUAACCUGCCUGAUAGCGGGGGAUAACUAUUGGAAACGAUAGCUAAUACCGCAUGAGAGUGUUUAACACAUGUUAGAGACUUAAAAGAUACAAUUGUAUCACUAUCAGAUGGACCUGCGUUGUAUUAGCUAGUUGGUAGGGUAGCGGCCUACCAAGGCAACGAUACAUAGCCGACCUGAGAGGGUGAUCGGCCACACUGGGACUGAGACACGGCCCAGACUCCUACGGGAGGCAGCAGUAGGGAAUCUUCGGCAAUGGACGAAAGUCUGACCGGGCAACGCCGCGUGAGUGAAGAAGGUUUUCGGAUCGUAAAGCUCUGUUGUAGCGGAAGAACGCGUGUAAGAGUGGAAAGUUACACAGGACGUACGUACCAGAAAGG
rnacentral:rRNA from 1 species